AUUGAACGCUGGCGGCAGGCCUAACACAUGCAAGUCGAGCGGAGCGGCGGACGGGUGAGUAAUGCCUAGGAAUCUGCCUGGUAGUGGGGGAUAACGUCCGGAAACGGGCGCUAAUCCCGCAUACUAUCAGAUGAGCCUAGGUCGUAUUAGCUAGUUGGUGGGGUAAAGGCCUACCAAGGCGACGAUCCGUAACUGUUCUCAGAGUAUGAUCAGUCACACGUGUACUGAGACACUGUCCCGACUCCUACGGGAGGCCGCAGUGGGGAAUAUUGGGCAAUCGGCGAAUGGCUGAUGCUGCCAUGCCGCGGGUGUGAAGAAGGUCUUCUGAUUUUAAAGCACUUUAAGUUGGGAGGCGUUACCAGCAGAAUAAUCACCGGCUAACUACGUGCCAUCAGCCUCAGUAAUAC
rnacentral:rRNA from 1 species